rnacentral:rRNA from 1 species
AUUGAACGCUGGCGGCAUGCCUAACACAUGCAAGUCGAACGAGUGGCGGACGGGUGAGUAAUGCUUGGGAAACUGCCCGUUGGAGGGGGAUAACUACUGGAAACGGUAGCCAAUACCGCAUACCAUCGGAUGUGCCCAGAUGGGAUUAGCUAGUAGGUGGGGUAACGGCCCACCUAGGCGACGAUCCCUAGCUGGUCCGAGAGGAUGACCAGCCACACUGGAACGGAGACACGGUCCAGACUCCUACAGGCGGCAGCAGUGGGGAAUAUUGCACAAUGGGCGCAAGCCUGAUGCAACCAUGCCGCGGGUAUGAAGAAGGCCGUCGGGUUGUAGAGUACUUUCAGCGGGGAGGCGUUACUCACAGAAGAAGCACCGGCUAACUCCGUGCCAGCAGCCGCGGUAAUAC